UGGGGAAUCUUCCGCAAUGGACGAAAGUCUGACGGAGCAACGCCGCGUGAGUGAAGAAGGCCUUCGGGUUGUAAAGCUCUGUUAUCGGGGACGAACGUGCUUUUUGUGAAUAAUGAGAAGCAAUGACGGUACCUGAGGAGGAAGCCACGGCUAACUACGUGCCAGCAGCCGCGGUAAUACGUAGGUGGCAAGCGUUGUCCGGAAUUAUUGGGCGUAAAGAGCGCGUAGGCGGGAGGAUCAGUCUGACCUAAAAGUGCGGGGCUCAACCCCGUGAGGGGUCAGAAACUAUCCCUCUUGAGGACCGGAGAGGACAGUGGAAUUCCCAGUGUAGCGGUGAAAUGCGUAGAUAUUGGGAGGAACACCAGUGGCGAAGGCGACUGUCUGGACGGUAACUGACGCU
rnacentral:rRNA from 1 species